rnacentral:misc_RNA from 1 species
AACGCACAUUGCGCCCCAUGGUAUUCCAUAGGGCAUGCCUGUCUGAGCGUCAGCUCACCCCCCCCUCACACUCAAGCAUCUAUUGUAUGAUGCUUGGAUUGCUUUGGAGAGGUAUCAUUUUAAAGUGAAGCCCUCCAGAAAUAUAUAGGCUGUAUGGUUUGCACUAGAACCAGACGUAAUAAUGAUAAAAUCGUCUAUUCUGGUAGAAUCAUUGUACUUGCCUUUGAAUCACCCAUUGAUUUUGGGUGACCUCAGAUCAGGUAGGGAUACCCGCUGAACUUAA